rnacentral:rRNA from 1 species
ACGGGUGAGAAACGCGUAGGAAUCUGCCUUAGAGAGGGGGACAACCCGAGGAAACUCGGGCUAAUACCGCAUAAUCUCGAAAGAGAAAAGGCUGGGUAGCAAUACCUGGCGCUUUAAGAGGAGCCUGCGUCCGAUUAGCUAGUUGGCGGGGUAAAAGCCCACCAAGGCGAUGAUCGGUAGCUGGUCUGAGAGGAUGAUCAGCCACACUGGGACUGAGACACGGCCCAGACUCCUACGGGAGGCAGCAGUGGGGAAUAUUGGACAAUGGGGGCAACCCUGAUCCAGCAAUGCCGCGUGUGUGAAGAAGGCCUUCGGGUUGUAAAGCACUUUAGGCUAAGAGGAAGUUGCGUAGUUUAAGAGAUAACGUAAUUGACUGUAUUAGCAGAAUAAGCACCGGCUAACUCUGUGCCAGCAGCCGCGGUAAUACAGAGGGUGCGAGCGUUAAUCGGAGUUACUGGGCGUAAAGGGCGCGUAGGCGGUCGGAUAAGUUGGAUGUGAAAUCCCUGGGCUUAACCUAGGAAUUGCAUACAAUACUAUUUGACUGGAGUACUGUAGAGGGUAGUGGAAUUUCCGGUGUA